UACGAAGGGGGCUAGCGUUGCUCGGAAUUACUGGGCGUAAAGCGCACGUAGGUGGCUUUCUAAGUCGGAGGUGAAAUCCUGGAGCUCAACUCCAGAACUGCCUUCGAUACUGGAGAGCUUGAGUCCGGGAGAGGUGAGUGGAACUGCGAGUGUAGAGGUGAAAUUCGUAGAUAUUCGCAAGAACACCAGUGGCGAAGGCGGCUCACUGGCCCGGUACUGACGCUGAGGUGCGAAAGCGUGGGGAGCAAACAGG
rnacentral:rRNA from 1 species